rnacentral:rRNA from 1 species
GACGAACGCUGGCGGCGUGCUUAACACAUGCAAGUCGAACGGGUCUGCCCUGUUUUUUGCGGGGUGGGUCAGUGGCGAACGGGUGAGUAACACGUGAGUAACCUGCCCCUCACUUCUGGAUAACCGCUUGAAAGGGUGGCUAAUACGGGGUGUUCUGGCUGUGCCGCAUGGUGUGGCUGGGAAAGAUUCACUUUUGUGGUGUUUUGGUGGGGGAUGGGCUCGCGGCCUAUCAGCUUGUUGGUGGGGUGAUGGCCUGCCAAGGCUUUGACGGGUAGCCGGCCUGAGAGGGUGGGCGGUCACACUGGGACUGAGAUACGGCCCAGACUCCUGCGGGAGGCAGCAGUGGGGGGUAUUGCACAAUGGGCGGAAGCCUGAUGCAGCGACGUCGCGUGAGGGAUGGAGGCCUUCGGGUUGUGAACCUCUUUCGCCGGUGAAGAAGGUCCUGCUCUUUGGGGUGGGGUUGACGGUAGCCGGGUUAUGAAGCGCCGGCUAACUACGCG